rnacentral:rRNA from 2 species
UAAGGAAUAUUGGACAAUGGUCGCAAGACUGAUCCAGCCAUGCCGCGUGCAGGAUGAACGAUCUAUGAUCUGUAAACUGCUUUUGUUCGGGAAUAAACCCCUUCACGUGUGGAGGGCUGAAUGUACCGAAAGAAUAAGGGUCGGCUAACUUCGUGCCAGCAGCCGCGGUAAGACGAAGGACCCAAGCGUUAUCCGGAUUUAUUGGGUUUAAAGGGUGCGUAGGCGGGUUGUUAAGUCAGUGGUGAAAGCCUAGAGCUUAACUCUAGAAUUGCCAUUGAUACUGACGAUCUUGAGGAUAGUUGAGGUGGGCGGAAUGUAUCAUGUAGCGGUGAAAUGCUUAGAGAUGAUACAGAACACCGAUUGCGAAGGCAGCUCACUAAGCUAUUUCUGACGCUGAGGCACGAAAGCGUGGGGAUCAAACAGG